CAGCUGUGCGGCUGCAUGUGAUAAAGUGCAGCUCAGCAUAAACACACUCAGGGGCUCCCUGCACAGCUGGCCACCAUAGGUUACAGUUCUGAAAGAUGGCGCACAGGAAAGGGAUGGUGGUAGAAGGAGACAGAUGGGGGAUGGAUGGUGGCCGAUCCACAGAUCAGGUCUGAGGUGAAGAGGAAGAUCAGCGGGGACUCAUGAGAGGAGAGAAGGUGAGAGGAUUUUGUAAGAUUCUGGACAACGACCCAAGCAAGUACCCUGACUCUGUCUCUCUGCCUCACCCCUCCUGUUACCUCUGCCUUUCUGAGCCCUUUCUGGACAAAGACCCUGGACUGGACCCUGGACUAUGAUUUUUGGAUUUUCCCUCUGAUACCUCUGCCUUCCUCUGACCACUCAUGCAUGACCCUGGACUGUCCCCUGAUUAAACCUUCAGCUUCUGGCUGUGACCGGCUUACUCUCUCGGCCGACAAACACCGACCACCUGGAUCUACAGCUUGGAUUCUGUGCCAUCUUCUGGAUUCAAGAAAGUGGUUCCUGUGGCCAAGUCUGCCGAUUACCUCUCCAGCUACACAUUUUGCUUAAAUAAAUCUUUUAAACUGCUCUCUGUGUGUCAGUUGAAUUAUCAGGACCAAAAACUUGAUUCAUUACCAGGUUAAAGGAGCAACCUCCACAAACUCAAAUUUAUUCUGUUAAAUAUUUCAGGUCAGUGGAACAUGAUGGAAACUUUGUAUUUCAGUACUUUUGUAAAACAUUUCUAU